AUGGAGGGCUUAGCCAGGCUCCGCCUGUCGUCUCCCGCCUCGACGACGCCGCCCCGCCGCGGCGGAGGGUCCCUGUGGCGGUUGCUCCCUUUGGCCCAGCCCGCCUCCCGAGCGGUCUCCGCCAAGGUGCUUCCCUCCUCCCCUAUCUUAAGGUACGCGGCAUGGACGGCGACCGAGGAGGCGGUGUACGAGCUGUGGCAGGCCGUGCUGGUGGAGGACCUGCAGGGGCGGCGGGUGCGGGAGGCCGAGGCGGGCAGGCGUCGCCAAUGGCGGGACGAGCAACUCGAGAAGGAGGGCGAUGCCAAGCUCGGCUGGGGCCUCCUGGGCAAUGCCUACGACCGCUGCGGUGAGGUCUACGUCGAGUACGCCGCCUUCUACCUCGAUAAUUUGAUCGAAAAGGGACGGCAUGCUGAGGUGUACAAAGGACAACUUGCUGAUGGGCAAUUUGUGGCAGUGAAGAGGGAUAAAGUGAUGAAAAAGAAGAAAAGAUUACUAGAAGAUUAG
rnacentral:rRNA from 1 species